ACGGAAGGCAGCAGUGGGGAAUAUUGCAUAAUGGGCGCAAGCCUGAUGCAGCGAUGCCGCGUGAGGGAAGAAGGUUUUCGGAUUGUAAACCUCUGUCAUCGGGGACGAUAAUGACUGUACCCGAGAAGGAAGCUCCGGCUAACUACGUGCCAGCAGCCGCGGUAAUACGUAGGGAGCGAGCGUUAUCCGGAAUUACUGGGUGUAAAGGGAGUGUAGGCGGGGCUGUAAGUCAGAUGUGAAAUAUGCCGGCUCAACUGGCAUACUGCAUUUGUAACUGCGGUUCUUGAGUGAAGUAGAGGUAAGCGGAAUUCCUAGUGUAGCGGCGAAAUGCGUAGAUAUUAGGAGGAACACCAGUGGCGAAGGCGGCUUGCUGGGCUUUAACUGACGCUGAGGCUCGAAAGCGUGGGUAGCAAACAGGAUUAGAUACCCUGGUA
rnacentral:rRNA from 1 species